GUCCACGGCCAUACCACCCUGAAUGCGCCCGAUCUCGUCUGAUCUCGGAAGCUAAGCAGGGUCGGGCCUGGUUAGUACUUGGAUGGGAGAAGCUUCUCUGACUAAAGAUGAGAGAGCGCAGGACUAGUCUAUGGGCA
rnacentral:rRNA from 1 species